ACCGUCUCAACUCCGCCAUCAUUAUGUUGAGCCCGCACACCAACUCUGUCCACGAUGUGAUUGCCCUGACUAGGGUUUGUUUUUUCCAGCUCACAAGCCAAUGGAGAGAUGCUAGACGAUGCUGGCUGCAAAUUACGUUUGCUGCCGCUAGGGUGCGUCUAUAUUUCUAGGCUAAGUUUGUUGUUUUGUCUAG